rnacentral:rRNA from 1 species
UGGGGGAUAUUGCACAAUGGGCGAAAGCCUGAUGCAGCGACGCCGCGUGGGGGAUGAAGGCCUUCGGGUUGUAAACUUCUUUUGCUCUGAACAAGGCGCACCAUGGGGUGUGUUGAGUGUAGGGGUUGAUUAGCGCCGGCUAACUACGUGCCAGCAGCCGCGGUAAUACGUAGGGCGCGAGCGUUGUCCGGAAUUAUUGGGCGUAAAGGGCUUGUAGGUGGCUGGUUGCGUCUGUCGUGAAAGCUCAUGGCUUAACUGUGGGUUUGCGGUGGGUACGGGCUGGCUUGAGUGCAGUAGGGGAGGCUGGAAUUCCUGGUGUAGCGGUGGAAUGCGCAGAUAUCAGGAGGAAUACCGGUGGCGAAGGCGGGUCUCUGGGCUAUUACUGACACUGAGGAGCGAAAGCAUGGGGAGCGAACAGG